rnacentral:misc_RNA from 1 species
CACCCACCAAGCUUAGCUUGAUGUUGGACGAAGCAUAAGAGCCCGUCCCAAACUCAUUUGGUGCCGUCCGUCGAGCACCAGCGUAGCAAGUUUUUCCUUCGCUUCGUGUCUCGGCGGCCGGUUGUCGUGAUUUUUACCUUUUACCA